rnacentral:lncRNA from 1 species
UAAAACCCCACAGCCAAACACGACGCCAUGAUGCACCCGAGCCUGCCUGAGUUUGUUUGACGGCUCAAAUAAACCACAAGAGAAAAAGUGCGAGGAAGUGAGAAAAUUUGAGGGAAAGUUGAAGAGGCAAAAGAAGAUGAGCAGCGAGCCCAAAACCAGUAGCGCAACCGGAGGAGGAGCAGGAGGAAGGGGAUUUAGGGCGAAAAUGGAGCACUACAUGUACAGCGGUGAGAAGAAGCACGUAUUUGCUGGCAUCGUUCUUGUCAGCGCCGUUUUUGCCGUUCCUUGGUACCUCAUGACUCGAGGUUUGUUUAUCUUUCUCACUAUUUUUUUGGAUUUUCGCGCUGUCGUUUUCGGUUUAAGCAUAAUGCAGCUGCAAAUUUUAGGUUUUGGAAUUUUCCUAAUUUUUCUUGGCAACCAAACACUGGAAAUGUGUAAAUUGGAUCAAGUGGUUCCAUUCUACUACACAGAUCAGUUUAAAUUAAAUUCAUCCAAAUGUGUAAAUUGGGUCAAGUGUUUACUGAUUGCUCGAGCCUCCUUUGUGUAUUUAGUGAAUAAUUAGAUUUGGGUUAUGACUAUCUGAGCUAUGGGAAUUACAAUAAUUUGUAUUUAUGAAUUAAUGUUUAUUUAUUUGGUUUUUUUAUAUGUAAAAUAAUAUAUAUAAGCUCAUCUUAAUAUGCAUGUUGUCAUAGGAAAUUUUGUUCUGCUCUCUUGUUGUGUGUUGUGUGUAAAAAAGAAAGGGGAAAAGACAAUGUGCACUGAUUUUGACUACCAUAUUGUAGGUAAAUACAUGGUACUAUUUUCAUGGUAGUUUCUUUAGUUGAUGGUUGUAAUCCAUGAAUGUGCCUUGUAUGAAUGGGGUUCGUACUUCAUUAUCAGAUUUUGUUUCGGUUGCCGGUUGAUUUGACAGUCUCCCUUUCAUAUGCACAAGGGGAGUUAUGCUGCUGGUAUUUUAUCUGCCUAAUGUAAUUCAAACUGUGUUCUCUCCUGUAGGGGCAAAGCAUCAAUCCCAUCAAGAUUACUUAGAGAAAGCUGAUAAGGCAAGGAGCCAAAGACUUUCUUCAGGGGCUUCUUCUGCUAAAUGAUUUUGAAAGCUUUCUUGUUAAGGGUGUGUAACUUUCCUCUGCUUUUUUUUUUUUCCCUUCUUUUAAUGGUUGGAAGGUGCAGUAGGUCUUUGUUGUUUGGCACUGUUUUUGCCUUCUCAACCUGUUCUCUGGAAGAGAUACUGGCUUCUCAUGAUCCUUGAGGAGCAAUAGUUUUGUUUAUUUUCCUUGUGAUAGUUACAAAUCUACAGUCCAUGAGGAACACAUUGUCAAUAACCAGCUAGAAGCAAACUUCUAUUUCUUGUUAUGUCAAUCAGGCUUCUUUCUGGUGUCAUGUUGAGUUGCACUAUAAAGUAUGGCGGUUGAACCAAAAAAAGAAGAAGGCCAGCACUACUUUUUUCUUAAUCUUGUGCAUUUUGAGGUUCAGCGUGUCUAGUAGGUGAAUAGUGCUCUUUCAACUUCAUUCAACUUUUUUAUUUGAUACAGCCAAGAAAAUUUUGAGGGGCAAACAAAAAUAUGCUUGGUAAAUUGGCACUACAGAGUCAGGUAGACUGGAGUAAAUAAUGUGCCAAGGGAAUUGUUGUUCAAUUGGUCAAGAGCAUUUACAAUGGCAC